rnacentral:rRNA from 1 species
AGUGAACGCUGGCGGUAGGCCUAACACAUGCAAGUCGAACGGCAGCACAGUAAGAGCUUGCUCUUACGGGUGGCGAGUGGCGGACGGGUGAGGAAUACAUCGUAAUCUACUUUUUCGUGGGUUAUAACGUAGGGAAACUUACUCUAAUACCUCAUACGACCUACUGGUGAAAGCAGGGGAUCUUCGGACCUUGCUCGAUUGAAUUAGCCGAUGUCGGAUUAGCUAGUUGGCGGGGUAAAGGCCCACUAAGGCGACGAUCCGUAGCUGGUCUGAGAGGAUGAUCAGCCACACUGGAACUGAGACACGGUCAAGACUCAGACGGGAGGCAGCAGUGGGGAAUAUUGGACAAUGGGCGCAAGCCUGAUCCAGCCAUACCGCGUGGGUGAAGAAGGCCUUCGGGUUGUAAAGCCCUUUUGUUGGGAAAGAAAAGCAGCAGGUUAAUACCCAGCUGUUCUGACGGUACCCAAAGAAUAAGCACCGGCUAACUUCGUG